rnacentral:tRNA from 1 species
GGUGGGUUAGCUCAGUGGUUAGAGCGUUGGUCUCGUAACCGAAAGGUCGCGGGAUCGAAUCCCGCUAGAGGCUG